UUCCAGAAUCUGUUUAAUCUCUCUGUUAGACACCUCUGCUUGCCCAUUUGACUGUGGAUGAUAACCCAAUGCCAACUUGUGCUUGACAUCAUACUUAGCUAGGAGAGAAUUGAACAGCUUGUUACAAAAAUGUGUACCUCCGUCGCUUACGAUCGCUCUAGGCGUGCCAAACCGAGUGAAGAUGUUUUUCUGUAAAAAUUUCAACACCACUUUUGCAUCAUUUGUUGGUGUGGCAAUGGCUUCAACCCACUUGGACACAUAAUCUACUGCGAGAAGAAUAUACUCUUGACCAAAGGAAGGUGGAAAUGGACCCAUGAAAUCAAUACCCCACACAUCAAAUAAUUCCACCUCAAGCAUACUGGUUAAUGGUAGCUCAUGAUGUCUUGAAAUGUUUCCAGUGCGUUGACAGCGGUCACAUGUUUUCACAAAAGCAUAGCAGUCUUUGAACAAAGUUGGCCAAUAGAAACCAGAUUGCAAUACCUUUGCAGCAGUACGUGUAGGACCGAAAUGACCUCCAUAGGAUGAUGAAUGGCAAUGCUGCAUGAUUGAUCGCGUUUCUUCCAC
rnacentral:lncRNA from 1 species